AUUGAACGCUGGCGGCAUGCCUUACACAUGCAAGUCGAAUGGCAGCAUGGGUGCUUGCACCUGAUGGCGAGUGGCGAACGGGUGAGUAAUGCAUCGGAACGUACCCGGAAGUGGGGGAUAACGUAGCGAAAGUUACGCUAAUACCGCAUAUUCUGUGAGCAGGAAAGCGGGGGAUCGCAAGACCUCGCGCUUCCGGAGCGGCCGAUGUCGGAUUAGCUAGUUGGCGGGGUAAAGGCCCACCAAGGCAACGAUCCGUAGCGGGUCUGAGAGGAUGAUCCGCCACACUGGGACUGAGACACGGCCCAGACUCCUACGGGAGGCAGCAGUGGGGAAUUUUGGACAAUGGGCGCAAGCCUGAUCCAGCCAUGCCGCGUGAGUGAUGAAGGCCUUAGGGUUGUAAAGCUCUUUUGUCCGGGAAGAUAAUGACUGUACCGAAGAAUAAGCCCCGGUAACUUCGUGCCCAGCAGCCGCGGUAAAAUAGCGUA
rnacentral:rRNA from 1 species